rnacentral:rRNA from 1 species
UACGUAGGGUGCGAGCGUUAAUCGGAAUUACUGGGCGUAAAGCGUGCGCAGGCGGUGGGGUGUGUCCGAUGUGAAAGCCCCGGGCUUAACCUGGGAAUGGCAUUGGAAACUGGCUCGCUGGAGUGUGGCAGAGGGGGGUGGAAUUCCGCGUGUAGCAGUGAAAUGCGUAGAUAUGCGGAGGAACACCGAUGGCGAAGGCAAUCCCCUGGGCCUGUACUGACGCUCAUGCACGAAAGCGUGGGGAGCAAACAGG